UACGUAGGGACCAAGCGUUGUUCGGAUUUACUGGGCGUAAAGGGCGCGUAGGCGGUUUGUCAAGUCAGUUGUGAAAUCUCCGAGCUUAACUCGGAACGGUCAACUGAUACUGUCAAACUAGAGUACAGAAGGGGCAAUCGGAAUUCUUGGUGUAGCGGUGAAAUGCGUAGAUAUCAAGAGGAACACCUGAGGUGAAGACGGGUUGCUGGGCUGAUACUGACGCUGAGGCGCGAAAGCUAGGGUAGCAAACGGG
rnacentral:rRNA from 1 species